rnacentral:rRNA from 1 species
GACGAACGCUGGCGGCGUGCUUAACACAUGCAAGUCGAACGGAAAGGCCCUGCUUUUGUGGGGUUCUCGAGUGGCGAACGGGUGAGUAACACGUGAGUAACCUGCCCUUGACUUUGGGAUAACUUCAGGAAACUGGGGCUAAUACCGGAUAGGAGCUCCUGCUGCAUGGUGGGGGUUGGAAAGUUUCGGCGGUUGGGGCUGGACUCGCGGCUUAUCAGCUUGUUGGUGGGGUAGUGGCUUACCAAGGCUUUGACGGGUAGCCGGCCUGAGAGGGUGACCGGCCACAAUGGGACUGAGAUACGGACCAGACUCCAACGGGAGGCAGCAGUGGGGAAUAUUGCACAAUGGGCGGAAGCCUGAUGCAGCAACGCCGCGUGCGGGAUGACGGCCUUCGGGUUGUAAACCGCUUUCGCCUGUGACGAAGCGUGAGUGACGGUAAUGGGUAAAGAAGCACCGGCUAACUACGUG